CUAAUACUCCCUCCAUCCCAAAAUUCUUGUCUUACGUUUUUCUAGAUACGGAUGUAUCUAAUACUAAAACGUGACUUGAUACAUCCAUAUCUAGACAAAUCUAAGACAAGAAUUUUGGGACGGAGGGAGUAGUUU
rfam:Triticum urartu cultivar G1812 contig786753, whole genome shotgun sequence.